rnacentral:rRNA from 1 species
UACGUAGGGUGCGAGCGUUGUCCGGAAUUAUUGGGCGUAAAGAGCUUGUAGGUGGUUUGUCGCGUCUGCCGUGAAAACCCGAGGCUUAACCUCGGGCUGGCGGUGGAUACGGGCAGACUAGAGGUAGGUAGGGGAGAAUGGAAUUCCCGGUGUAGCGGUGAAAUGCGCAGAUAUCGGGAGGAACACCGGUGGCGAAGGCGGUUCUCUGGGCCUUACCUGACGCUGAGGAGCGAAAGCGUGGGGAGCGAACAGG